rnacentral:lncRNA from 1 species
UUUUUUGACCACAGUUACAAAUGUGAAAAUAUAUUAAGCAAAUACAUAAUUUAAAUAGGAAGACUAGAGAAGUUCUUUGUUCAACUAGAGCCGGUUAGAAACACAGUAUUGCGGGGAGGUACAAUAGUAUGAAAAAAUAAAAUCAUCUACUGCCAUUUUAAAUAACCAGAUUUGCAGAGAAAGAAUACAUGAUAUUAAAAACAUAAAAGUGCUCUAUUAUAGAACAUAAUAUGUUCACUUGCUGGAUUUAUUUACAGUGUUUACUCAAGCCGCACGUAACUCAAGGAAUAGCUAGCUGAACCUCCUUGGACCGUAGUGGAUGGUGGUUUUGGACUCUGGCUACCUAACAUUCAAAGUACUGGGCCAGCAGCAGUUUCUGAUCAAGAAACAUAUGCUGAAUGUGUGUGCCGUGAAAUAAUUUCUACAAGGUAGCACCAGAGACAAGAUUGAAGACUUGAUCCUUGUCUUUGUAGAAUUUAUCAGCCUGAUGGGUCCUACAUGGGGGACCAGAGCUCAAGGGCCCUUCAGGCAAGAACACGGGUGCACCCGGUAGUCAGUGUGGCUGAGAGCAAGAACUUUCACAAGGGCCGCUGCAGACUCUCCCCAGACUUGCAGAGGGAACACUGUCCCACUGUGCUACACACUCCUAACACUACAACUGCAUAUGCUCCUUUCUGCUGGGAUGCUUAUUUACUGGCUCAGCUAUUAAAAUACAACAUCUCACGCAUAACACAAAGCUUGCUCUUAGGGCGAAGACGGUCUUUCCUAAAAGACAUUACUUAAGGCAGAGAGAACAGCCAUAGCUAACAUUUUUUGACAUGACUCUAGAAGGGGCACAUUACAUUUGUCUGACAUUAUUCACAGUGUUCAACAACUUAUUUUCGUAACUUAUGUGAGAUCAUGUACAUUGGCAUAUAGGCUAUAAAAAUAAUCUUUGGUAAAUCUGUUAAUAGAUUUCUUGAUCUCCAUUACAUAAACCUCUAUUUUUAAGAGCAUUCACUAACAAUUUCCUUAUCUCAUGAAUGUAUCUAUAUAGGCAACCUUUAAAAAAAAUAAAAUGCCUUAUUUUUGUUGCAUACAUUUAUUCCUAGGGAGCCUCCCUACAAGUCAAGAGUAUUCUUUUAGUCAGAAAUAUUUCCAUUGCUAGAAACAUUUUUAGAACAGAGCAGAUUUCUGCUAUUACCAUGGCUGUAUCAAAUGUUACCCUGCAUUUUAACUAAAAUGGCCACUUUCAAAGGCAUCAUCCACUACAAGAAUCUAAGGUAGUGUGGUUGGAUUCCAAGCUAAGUCCAUGUAGUCAAACACAUGGUCAAUUCACAAAACUAAAUGAAUCUCAAUUCAGUUGCUUAAUUGGCUAAAUCAUCUGGCUGAUGAAAUAAGAGAGCACCCCCCCCCCCCCCACCAAGGAUAAUAUGUCCUAAUAGAAAUACGACAUUCUUCUGAGAAUAGUCUGGACACAGAGAAAGGAUGCCAUUUUGUCUUCCGGAUGACAUCUGGUUAGAUUCCCUUUCUCAGAUAUUUCCCCUUCUUCGUAUCAUUUCAUUUGUUUUCUGCAGUCAUGGUUUACAGAUUUUCCUCUGAUAUGAAACCUUCCUUGAAUACUUGAUGUGAUUUGAAAUCUUGGGUUAAAAAUAUUCAGAAAUGUAACAGGGCUUUUGGGCUGAUUAGGGCCUUUCCACUCUGACUCUUCCUAGGUGUGAGGUGGGGUCGAGGGCUGCUCACGGCCAUCUGGGGGAGGACCAGCCAUUCCUUCUUGCCACUCUGUCUUGGCUGGUGAAUUACUUUCAUUUCCUCUGUGAAAUGGAACCUGGACAGUCCUUGAACUACUACCUCAAACAAGCAGCUUAUUUCCUAUUGCCUUUCAAUACCAGGUCACGUUUGGGGUGGCUCAGGUGAGUGGACUGAAACUCUAGAGCCUCCCAGGGCUGGGGCCAGGUCCUAUCAUUUGCUGUCACACAGAUCCGGCCAGCUUAGACUUCUAGGUUCCAAUCUCAGAGACUCAGAAAGCCAAGUAAUUUGGAAUUCAGUAUAUGGCCAGUAAUUUUCUUGCAAAAAAGUAAGGAGAAUAUUUAAUAUAAGAAACUGGAUCCUGAGACACUAAGGCAAGAGAUUCAGAGUGUGAAGUAUAGCAUGUGAGGUCUAUUUUUGUAUUGCUGGACAUCUGCUUGGUGGUUUCAUAUUAUUUUCACAUGUCAUUUUGGGCUUUCCUCCAAGAGGUAAUAACAAAAUUAAUUAAAGACCCUUCCAAAUAAAACUGUCCCCAACAUGUCUGUGGGCCAUGACCAUUUUAGUAUGUCACAGCGAAACCAUGGUCACCUCUGCUAUAACGUGGAGCCUGAGAAGACUAUGAAAUGCCAGUGAGUUGAAGGAGAUAAAAUGAACAGAAAAUAAAAUCACAUUCGACUGGGAAAGCAAACAUGCUCAAAAGAGGAGAAGGCAACAAGUUGUGAAAAAGAGGGACUCCGAAGUGUUAAGAGAUGGUGAAUUGCUCAGGACAAAUAUGUGCAGGCCCAGACAGGGAGAUGAGCCUUUGAAAACUCUGAUUCAAGAGCUGAAAACCUGGCUGCUAUCCAGGGAGCAGCAGAAUGAUAAUAGGAAAUCGAUUUAAUGAGUAGAGAUUAAAGGUGUUAAUUAUAAAGAACUUGGAUAAAUAAUUAUUAAGAUGCAAGACGGGACUCUCCUAAGAUGUGAUAGCUCACAAGCACUUUGACGGCUGGGUGAUUCAAGUGUAGUGGACAGGUGCAAACAGGAUGCCCACCACGGCAGGAAAUGGAAUGUUUACCAAGACCUAACACAUGAUGGGAUUAUAUUAAAAUAUGUCCAAUCGAGAUGAAUGUCAAGGAAACCUUCCCCCCCCCCUAAAUUUAAUAAACAGAUCAACUAGAUAAUGUAUUUAGUCCUUGGCGGUG